AAAAGCCUUACAUGUUGUGUUCAUGCUUGUGUUGAGGUUUAACGUGCCAUGUGAGCAUACUUUCUGACGCCAAUGUAUUAUGACUUAUUUGGACUCAGAUGCUAUCAAAUGCCUAGAAUGCAGAUAAUGUUUUAUGAAACAGGAUAUGAAAGGAAACAGAGCUGUGAGAAACCUUGUGGAAGAUGUACAGCAAAAACAGAAGACCAAAAAAGUGAAAGACCUGCGACAGAUAGCCAGGAAUGGGCACAAGAUGUUGUACUCCGAUCAUGAGGAACCUCUCAAACUGUUUUGUGAGGAUGAUCAGAGGUUGGUUUGCCUCAUCUGCAGAGAGGGUGAGAAACACAGCGGACACAGUUUCAAACUUGUUAAAGAGGCUAUGAAGGAAAAUGAGGAAAGGUCCAAAUAUCUUAAAGAAAGAUUGCAAGCUCAGUUUUAAAAAAAUGCACACCUUCUUGAUGGAAAAGGAGGAAAAGAUGAAGAAGCACCUCCAGGAGGCGGCACACAGCUCUGAGGUCAAAAUGUAUCACGUUUGGGAGAGUUGCAAGGAAAAGCAAAUAACCAAUUGUCUGUUAUGGAGUCAGAUAGAGAUUAACCAACCUGAGGGAUUUUUUACAGUAGUGGAGUGAAAAAUGUCUCCCUUUGGUUGACAAAAUCACCCUCAGUGAGAAUAAUUACAUCACACCUGCCUUUCAAGCUAAUAUGUUUUUUUAAAGGUUUAGGUCAAGACUUCAUGAUAACAGGUGAUAAACCACUUCACUAUUGGCCCUUAUGAAAGUUACUGCCACAGUUUGUUUGUAGAGACGAUUCUAAACUAUGUUAAACAAGACCUGGAAUUGUCUAUCAGAAAAGACAGCUAUCUGCAGUCUGGAGGCCAAGAAUACUUUGCCAGACAUCAGGCGUUUCACAAUACUUAUAAGAACAGUAAUGUGAAGGAUUAGCAGAUAAACUGGUUGGGUGUACUGGGAAGUUAUCACUAUUAGUAAAAGAAAAAAGUCUGUAUGCUGAAAGGGGUGAUGAAGAAACCUUAAAUGUCAACCAGGUUAUUCCCAGAAGAGUUGGAGUUUACUGAGAGAUGUCAGGUUGUUUACGUCUCUCAUUCUUGCAAUGUGGUGUGGAGAUAAAUAGAUUAUUUUUUUAUUAAUAUUUUUUAUUUAUUAAUAAAAUUAUACAUAAAGUGCACAUUCAGUGCACUUCUGCUUAAAAUUAUAAGUUACAUUUAUCUUCAGUGUAUGCGGCAUAGUGCUGGCUUUAUAAUGUUGAUAUUGUUAACAUUUGAAUUGAUAUAUGAAUACUUGUUAACCCAUAAAACAUAUAGCAUUCACUUUGCUUUUUAAAUGGCUUUAUAUGUCACUUCUGAAGUAGCUUUAAUGCUAACUAUAAAUAACUUUGCAACUACAUGUCAACUAACUUUCAAUAAUUUGCAACUAUACGUCAACUAACUGUCAUUAAAGUAUUAGUAGCCUGUAAGGGUUAGGGAAGAGGUUUGGGUUAGUGGAAUAAGUUGACAUGCACCUGCAAAGAUAGUUAUAGACAGUUGAAUGUCUGUUGAGAUAUCAUCACAAUAAAGUGUUAGUAGAUAUUAAGCAGACAUAUUACUAAUUCUCUAAAGAUUGAUAGUUGAUAAGUAGUUGCAAAGUUACUUAUAAUUAAUAAAAUGUCUAAAGUGGACUAUUGAAAUAAAGUGUUACCAAUUUAAUACUGUUAUCAUAACAUAUCUGUUAAAGCGUCUAUUUAUAUAUAUAGUCAAAUGCAUAUAAAUUAAAGGCUUGUAUGUCUGUUUUAAAUAAACUGUGAAGUUGUGUUUUUAAAUGCUGUGCAUUUUUGAAUGUAUAGAGUUUAUAAUGGAAGACAUUUUUUAGGUAUUUUAAAUGUAAAAAUAUGUUUGUCUUUGCUGAAGGUCACACUUCCAUACGGCAAAAAAAUUAU